rnacentral:rRNA from 1 species
GAAGCCCAGCUUGCUGGGUGGAUUAGUGGCGAACGGGUGAGUAACACGUGGGUGAUCUGCCCUGCACUCUGGGAUAAGCCUGGGAAACUGGGUCUAAUACCGGAUAUGACCUCUUGCUGCAUGGCGAGGGGUGGAAAGUUUUUCGGUGCAGGAUGAGCCCGCGGCCUAUCAGCUUGUUGGUGGGGUAAUGGCCUACCAAGGCGACGACGGGUAGCCGGCCUGAGAGGGCGACCGGCCACACUGGGACUGAGACACGGCCCAGACUCCUACGGGAGGCAGCAGUGGGGAAUAUUGCACAAUGGGCGAAAGCCUGAUGCAGCGACGCCGCGUGAGGGAUGACGGCCUUCGGGUUGUAAACCUCUUUCAGCAGGGACGAAGCGAAAGUGACGGUACCUGCAGAAGAAGCACCGGCCAACUACGUGCCAGCAGCCGCGGUAAUACGUAGGGUGCGAGCGUUGUCCGGAAUUACUGGGCGUAAAGAGCUCGUAGGCGGUUUGUCGCGUCGUCUGUGAAAUCCCGCAGCUCAACUGCGGGCUUGCAGGCGAUACGGGCAGACUCGAGUACUGCAGGGGAGACUGGAAUUCCUGGUGUAGCGGUGAAAUGCGCAGAUAUCAGGAGGAACACCGGUGGCGAAGGCGGGUCUCUGGGCAGUAACUGACGCUGAGGAGCGAAAGCGUGGGUAGCGAACAGGAUUAGAUACCCUGGUAGUCCACGCCGUAAACGGUGGGCGCUAGGUGUGGGUUUCCUUCCACGGGAUCCGUGCCGUAGCCAACGCAUUAAGCGCCCCGCCUGGGGAGUACGGCCGCA